UUAGAGUUUGAUCCUGGCUCAGGAUGAACGCUGGCGGCGUGCCUAAUACAUGCAAGUCGAACGCACAGCGAAAGGUGCUUGCACCUUUCAAGUGAGUGGCGAACGGGUGAGUAACACGUGGAUAACCUACCUCAAGGCUUGGGGAUAACAUUUGGAAACAGAUGCUAAUACCGAAUAAAACUUCGUAUCGCAUGAUACAAGGUUAAAAGGCGCUACGGCGUCACCUAGAGAUGGAUCCGCGGUGCAUUAGUUAGUUGGUGGGGUAAAGGCCUACCAAGACAAUGAUGCAUAGCCGAGUUGAGAGACUGAUCGGCCACAUUGGGACUGAGACACGGCCCAAACUCCUACGGGAGGCUGCAGUAGGGAAUCUUCCACAAUGGGCGAAAGCCUGAUGGAGCAACGCCGCGUGUGUGAUGAAGGCUUUCGGGUCGUAAAGCACUGUUGUAUGGGAAGAACAGCUAGAGUAGGGAAUGACUUUAGUUUGACGGUACCAUACCAGAAAGGGACGGCUAAAUACGUGCCAGCAGCCGCGGUAAUACGUAUGUCCCGAGCGUUAUCCGGAUUUAUUGGGCGUAAAGCGAGCGCAGACGGUUGAUUAAGUCUGAUGUGAAAGCCCGGAGCUCAACUCCGGAAAGGCAUUGGAAACUGGUCAACUUGAGUGCAGUAGAGGUAAGUGGAACUCCAUGUGUAGCGGUGGAAUGCGUAGAUAUAUGGAAGAACCACCAGCGGCGAAGGCGGCUUACUGGACUGUAACUGACGUUGAGGCUC
rnacentral:rRNA from 1 species